AACUCCCAAGUGUUGUAAGAACAAAAGAAAUGAGGAUCACACAAAUUCUACUCUUGGGUAAGAUUAAUAUGUGAGCAUAAUACUAUACAUAUUACAUGCGGCAAUUACCCUAUCCUGACCAUUUUUUUUCCUUUCGGUGUCUAUAGACAUGGCAACCAUUGAGGGGAAAGUGCAUUGCGGCCCUGAGAUUGGAACGGGCCCGUUGCCGUGUGAUCGCGCGAAUUGCACGACAUGGUGUAGGAACAAUGGUGGCAAGAACGUUGAGUGUGUUCCUGGAGGAUGCAGGUGUGUAGCAUGCUGGAAAGAGCCCCCCAGCUCGCCAUUAUCAAGCUAGGGCCAGAAAGGCACACAAGGGUCUGGGAAUAGUAUUGUAAGAUACCUUUUGCCUGAAAUAAGGCAAGUGAUGUUGAGUCUUUUUUUUGUGGGUGAGUGAUGUUGAGUCUUGAGUAGACAAGUUUCGUGAAGAUCCGUUUAUCCAUGGAAAACAAUGGGAUAUACCCUUAUACAAUAAAGGUCCUGACUAACUCGCUCUUCAUCCAUAUAGGGGUGUUGCGACUCAAACUUUCUCAAGUGACCUUGCCUUGUUGUUGUCCCUUAAAACUAUCCUUUUGAUUUAGAAAGUAUUCCAGAAUUUCAUUAAAUCUUCUGUAAAUUGAAAAAUGUUCAUGAUUUUCGAUAAUGUUGAAAAAUACAUAAAUGUUCU
rnacentral:lncRNA from 1 species